AGGAUGAACGCUAGCGGCAGGCUUAACACAUGCAAGUCGAGGGGUAUAGUUCUUCGGAGCUAGAGACCGGCGCACGGGUGCGUAACGCGUAUGCAAUCUACCUUUUACAAAGGAAUAGCCCAGAGAAAUUUGGAUUAAUGCCUUAUAGUAUUACGACUUGGCAUCAAGAUGUAAUUAAAGAUUUAUCGGUAAAAGAUGAGCAUGCGUCCCAUUAGCUAGUUGGUAUGGUAACGGCAUACCAAGGCUACGAU
rnacentral:rRNA from 1 species